CGGGGCUGCUCUGUCUAUGGAGUAGCCAUUCUUUUAUUCGAAUACUUUACUCUCCUAACAAACUUGCUUUCAUUUUACUCUACAGACUCACCCUGAAUUCUUUCUUGCACUUGCUCUAAGAACCCUCUCUUGGGGUCUGGAUCCGGACCGCUUUCUGCUAACACUUCUACAUACCACGUUUAUUUGAGACAGAAAAAUACAGCAAGGACAUCCAUCUAAACUUUGUCUGGAGUCUGGGCCCAGGGGAGCUGCAGUACAUGGAGGGUCUCUGGAAGUGGGUAUGGCAGAUUAGCGCCUAAGCUCAACUGGCUUUCCUCCUCUGCCUCUGUUCCUGGGACUUGCUCACGGCUCACAAGGUAGCUUCCCACUGUCAGUCCAUCAGCAACAGCCAGUUAGAGUCGAUUGGGUGUGAGAAGCGAGACUAUUCAUAAGCAGCCUGUCCCCUGUGCCACUGGCUUAUUAAGCAGAGCUAGGCAUAGACAGCUGGGAACUCUGGGCAGCUCCUUUAAAUUUCUCUUUGAAGAAUGUUAAGUAUUCACCAGCAGUGAAGGUUACAAAGGCUGAAGUUUUCUCUCCACCCCCAGCAUUUCCCAGGGGAGUAAAAGGAAGGAUCAAAGCUACAAUGGGCUUGGCUGCCCUUCUCCAGGAAUGGCCAGAGGACAACUUCUGCUUGGAAAGUUCCUGGAUACUUCUGGAACAGAAUUCUCCUGGGGUGAGUGGUUCACACAACUGACCCACUUCAUCCCCACUCAGCAAAAUGAGAGCGCCGUUGACUGACAACAAAAUGCUGAACUGGAAACCUCCGCAGUAAAACGUGAUGCAGAACAGAGAAAGAACUAAGAUGUUCUGCACAGACGGUAUCAUGCCCUCUAUGAGGAAACUACUCGAGCAUAUCUGUGUUUCAAAUGAUGUCUUUGAACUAUUUAUGUUAAAUGCCCCCCCAAAAAAAUGGAAAGGCUUCUUCGUAGAGGAAAGAGCUUGAAGUUGCUAGGCUGUUCUGCCUUCAACAGGCAUUUAUUGUGCAGCUACAAAAUGCUGCACCAAGCACUGGGCAGUGGAAAGGUGAUUCAGACACAGUUCCUUUGACAAAACCUCAAAAUCCCAUGUGAAGUUCUCUUUUAUAAAGUAAAUCAGAAAAGAUUCAAAAGUUGAGGUACCAAAAAAAAAUAAUAUAAAUGCAAGUAGUAAAGCGCUAUUGACUGUAAAUAGAAGCACUUAAUAAGUGGUUGUUGUUUCUGUUCUUCUCUCUAAUAAGUGUAUACAGGUGGCUAAAUGCUUUUGUUGAGCUAUGAGUACCUCAUUCUGUGGAGUGACUCAGAAAGUCUCUAGGUGUUAGACUGGAAACAGGUGAUGUUCAGUGCACGCAAUGCUUGAAGUGUUCCCAGGUAUUUAGUUUCAGGUAAAUUUUACUGUUUAAAAAAAUUGUUUUUACUUGCUAUUAAGUGUGUUGACCUUGGAUAAUUUACUUAACCUCUCUAUGCCUUGCUUCCUUUUCUGCAAAAUGAGAGUAAGAAAAGUGCUUACCUCAUUGGCUUUUUGUGAAAUUCAAUGAGUUAACACGUGGGAGAAAAGAUGUUUUUAAAUAAUCAAUUCUUAGCAGUUGGUCAUUGUUAUGAGUUACAUCAUGCGUAGUUAAAUAUUUUUUAAAAAAUUAAAAUUUAUUUUCCUAUAGGAAAAAGGAGGGACUGAAUUGUGAAUCCAUUUUCUCUGCUUUCAGUUAUUUCUACUCCUGAGAAAAACCCUAAGCACUUAGGGUCUAGAACCACAUCCCGAGACGGUGAGCUCUUCCCACAUUUUCACAUGUGCCUGAAUCAUUUGUAGGUCUCGUUCAAGCAGAGAAUCUCCGGGAUUCUCACUCGGGAGGUCUGGGGUCGGGCCUGAGUCCUUGCAUUUCUAACAAACUCCCAGUUGAUGCUGGUGCCACUGGUUCUGAAUUAAGAUGCUUGUUUACCUAGUGACAGCAACAAAAAUUGUAGCAAUGGUAUCCAGAAAUAAACAGCAUACUUUUAUAGGGCUAGUCAAAUGAACCCAAACAUACAAAAUAAAGGCAAACCUCACAAUCUUCUUGCAAUGAUUUAUUACUCUGAGAGCUCAUUUUAGGUGAGAUUGUCUCCCUCCGGAGCCUGAUUCCUAAAAGCUUUCUAUGACUUUGAAAUUAUCGUUUUCCUUUUGGAGGUAGCACAAUAUAAGAGCUAAGAAGAGAAUGAGAACUGGAGUCCCUCCCAGGUUUGCCCCUCUAGGUAUGUAAGCUAAGGUAAACUACUUAGCCUUUCUUAAGCCUCAGUUUUCUCAUUACAAAUGGGCAUAUACGGAACAUUGGCUUGCCUCCUACAGUUGUUUGAGGACUCAAUGAAAAUGUACGUGAAGCUGGUUGCGGUGAGCUGAGAUUGUGCCACUGCACUCCAGCCUUGUGACACAGCGAGACUCCGUCUCAAAAAAAUAAAUAAAUAAAUAAAUAAAAAUAAAAGACUGGUUGCGGUUGCUCAUGCCUGUAAUUCCAGCACUUUGGGAGGCUGAGGUGGGCGGAUCACAAGGUCAAGAAAUCAAGACCAUCUUGGCUAACAUGGUGAAACCACAUCUCUACUAAAACUACAAAAAUUAGCUGGGCAUGGUAGCACAUGCCUGUAGUCCCAGCUACUCGGGAGGGCUGAGGCAGGAGAAUCGCUUGAACCAGGGAGGCAGAGGGUGCAGUGAGCCGAAAUCAUGCCACUGCACUCCAGCCUUGUGACAGAGUGAGACUCCAUCUCAAAAAAAAAAAAAAAAAAAAGAAAAAGAAAAAAGAAAAUGUACGUGAAGCAGUUAUCCUGGUGCCGGUGCCUGGUACGUAUCAAGGGCACCAGAACAUUAGCUAUUUAACCUUAAGGUUUCAAAUCCACCCUUCUCUGGAGACUUCUUGUUCCCUACUCUCAUGCAUCUCUGCAUCAUGGUCAUAACCCAUAGCAACGAAAAGCCAAGGUUUCACUCUUUGAAAUCUGGAUAAUGGUAUUUGUCUGCAAUAAUAUCCUAGGAGUAGAGCUAGAGAAUUUGUUUUGGGUUUUGUUUGUUUUUGUUCAUUUUUCAGACACGGUGAGUCAGAAACGUAAGGCUCAGAGAUAUUUUUAGUUUUUCCAGCCACUAAGAAUUCUUGUUGCCUGCAGGGAAAUAAAGAAAUGCAGAGAAGGGGGAGUGCUAGACUUGCCUGCUUGCUAUCCAAAACCACUUCUUUCCUUUGAAAAAGGGUCUGUGCAGCCAAAACAAGCAGCGCUAACGCUGGGCUGAGAGUAGGCACCAGCCAUCCAGGAAAGAGACAAGGCAACCAUCAGCUACAAAAGCUGCUUCAACAGCAGACAGCUCAAAGAAUCAAAAAAUGCAUCCCAGGAGGGCUGGGUGAGGAAAGACAGUGAUCUUGCCUUGGUAUUUGCAGCAAAGUCACAGACCAGGAAGGUCAAAUCCUCGCUGAGAACCAUGUGGACAAAUGUCCAGGACAUGGUCGCUGGCCUCAGGGAGCCCACAAUUUUAUUGAAGAAGCAAGAUUGUCAGAAGUAAGGACCAAAACUCGUGUAUACAGAGAAAGGAGAAAGAUUGAGAGGAAAGAAGAGGAGAAUCAAGGAGGCAGAGAUUAAAAGAAGGAAGGGAUAGAAAAGAAAAGAAAAAGAAAGAGGGAAGGAGAGAAGGGGAAAAGUACGGACUCCGUUUCGUGACUACAUCACAAGCAUUGAUGAAAAGAAGAGAAAUCUGUGAAAACGAGAAAGCAGGCACUGUAUGUUGCAUCCUGACACACAGUGAGUUGUUACACUUUAAAAGCCACAAAGAAGAGACGCUCACCCAGAGACAGACUUGAUGGAUUUGGCAGCUUAUCAUACUGGGAAGGGCAGAAUUGGGUUAUGCUAUGUUUUCAAUGGGUCCCCUCCAAAAGUCAGCCAAUGUGAUAGUAUUAAGAGAUGAGGCCUUUAAGAGGUGAUUAGGCCAUGAGAGCUCCUUCCUCGGGCUUGGAAUUAAGUGUCCUUAUACAGAGGUUUGGCACAAGGAGUUGGCCCCCACUUGCCCUUCCGUGUUCAGCCAUGAGGACACAGUGUUCCUUCUCUCUGGAGGAUGCAGCGUGAGGGCGCCAUCUUGGAAGCACAGAGCAGCCAUCACCAGACACCAAACCUGCUGGUGCCUUGAUCUUCCCAGCCUCCAGAACUGUGAGAAAUUUCUGUUCUUUACAAAUUGCCUAGUCUCGGGAAUUCUGUUAUAGCAGAACAAAAGGACUAAGAUAAGUUACCUUUUCUUAAAGGAAAACUUUGAUAAAUAUUCUUUGUCCUCUAUUCCUUUCACCUAUACCCCAUGAAGCUGGGAGGAUAAGGGGAGUAAGAGGAGGAGCUGAAACUAAGAGGUCAGCAGACCCUAAGCCCUAGUCGGAAGCCUCCAAAACUGUCAAUCAAACCACUGUGUCUCCAGCCCUGGGCCUGACUCAGGAAACCAUCACCUGCCUCUUCUCCAGCCUCUUCUCUCCAUCCUUGCUUGUGAAGUAGUCAUGGAAUACUCUCCAUACUCUUUUUCCCCCCUUUCCUUCCCUCUUUUUCUUUUGUUUUUUCUCCCUUCCUUCCUUUAUCCUCCUCUGCCUCCUUGAUUUUCCUCUUCAUCUUUCUUCUCAACCUUUCUCCUUUCUUUUUAUACCCUAGUUUUAUUCCUUACCUCUGACAAUCUUGCUUCUUUGACAAAACAUUAAACUGAGAUCUCAGACUGGCAUGCAACCUGAUUAGUAGAAACUUGCUCUUCCUGGCCUAGUGCAGUUCAUCAUGCAGCCUCUCUUCCUCUUCCCCUGGCACCUCACAGCAGUCAGCAUCCACGUGCUCCUGCUAACAAGUGCAAGGCCAAAUGAAGAAAACACUAAGAAUGCAUUCACAAAAGUGACAGCAUCUCCUCUAGCCACUUUGAAUUUUCCCCUCAUUUACUGAGGAAAAUAAAAUUCCUAUUUGAUCUACAGGUCUGCCACCUCUAAGGAGUCGUUCCAUUUUCUGAAACCCAGAAUUAACCAGAACUACAAUCCCCACUGUCACCCAAUUUUGUGUUGUGUUCAGAGAUGUUGGCUGGUCAGCCAGGUUUUUGAGAAUAAAGCUGACUUCAGGUUGAAAUAGUCAAAAUCAAAACCUUGGGCCCUUUGGACAAUUCCCUAGGGACUCUUCAUAAAGCCCAAUAAAGGUCUCCAUAGAAACACCUUGCAGCCCAUUUAUGAGCUUUUUUAGCAAUAGCUGUCCAGAAAACUUUUACACCCCCCUGAAAUAGUCAAUCUACCCCAUCUGCUCCAUGACAACAGAAAAAUGGUGCCUCAUAUCACUAGCCAGCAUCUCGUAACACAUCAGGGUUUUGGCCUGAGAUUGUUCUCUGAGAUACACUAUGCAAAUAUCCAGCUGGUAUCACCAGACAACAGGAAUUUAGUUGGGAAAGGCACAAGGAUUGGGAAGUCUGAGGACGGGCUCAAGGUCUCCAACUGGACAGCCAGCUCAGGACUCCUUUGUCAGGGUCCCUGGGGACCUGGCUGAGGUUUUCAACAGGUAGGGCUUGAUCCUAGUGCAACACCUUGUUCUUACCCUGGGUCUCUUAGAUGAGUGAUCUUGGCCAAAUCACUUAAGUGAUCUCAGAUUGUUUGCUCAUCAUGAUAAUAAUCGUAAUAUUGCCAACCUCACACGGCUGUUGCGAGUGCCCAGAGAAAGAAAAGGUAAAGGAAUGUGGCCCUCCUCACAUGAGAAAGGAGACUAACAGAAAUUAAGGAGCUUGCCCAAGUUCACACAGGAGGCAAGCUGUGGUUUAAAUCUAAGUGUAUCUGACACAUAUUGUGUUCUGUUUCUACUAAGCUCUAGAUAUAAGAUAAAAAAUAUUAUGCUUAUUUGCAUAUUGUUAUGCAUAAUGUCCAAAUGUAUGCUUCAUUUGCACAUAUGAUUGCUACUGUCUCUCAUCUGGGAUGUAGUUCCCAGCUGGGUAAUACAUUUGAGCUAAACUCUCCUCAAGCCCAGCUUCAGCCCAGCAGAGAAUUUUUAGGGGCGAAGUCUCAUCACAACACAUAGCCCUUCUGAGCAAUCAGGUGAAGCAUAGAGUUCCAAAAAGCCCAAACUUCACUCAAAUUUCCUCUCGUAGCUCAGGAUGGGAAGCUGGGGCUCUUCCAAGGGUAAGCAAGCCAGGUAUCAUGGCAGCUUCACACCACAUUUUUGUAUUCAUUCUUGACCACUCCCCACCAUCCCCAACCCUGCUGCCUGUGCCCUUUUCUAAAGCUCAAGACUCUCAAUAUUCCAGAAACAGCUAAUACCAUUAAAAAUAGUAAUUAAUUUUGUGGAACACCUACCAAGGUAAGUCAGCCUCUUUAUGAUAUUUAAUAUUCAACAUGAAACUAAAAGUAGGGGUUUUUUAACCAUUCCCAUUUUAUGGUCAAGGAAAUGGAGGCCUGGAGAGAUGAGGUGGCCCACCCAGGGUCAUACAACUAAGAAAGGUAGAACAGGAUUCAAAUCUAGGUCCUCUUACACCAGACCCAGUGCCUGUCCCAGGGUGCCGUCAGUCCCAUUGCUGCUGGAGGGCAGCAUGAGUAGCACACCAUCCUGCCAGCCGCCCUCUAGCCAGGGCAGACUCUCAAAAUGCAAAACUUGCCAGACAGGCAGGAAUGCAAAUGCACACACAGCCUGAAGUAGAUCUGCCCUGACAGAAGUCACCCAGGUGGCCACUUGGCCAUGGAAUGUGCCCAGCUUGAUAAGAAGGCAAAUGCCUGGCGUCUUGCAGGGCCAGGGUGCAUAUCAGGUUUCAUUUCUGGGCUGUGGCAAGACAGAAGCCGUAUGUGGUCUUUGCCUGCCAGGACUGGCUGGCCCUGAUGCCCACGGCCUGCCAGGCAUGACAAGCCCAGCAGUCUUCCCUAACGGGGCCUUCUCUUGCCCCAAGCAACAGUCCUAAUGUCUUCCAAGUUGGGCACAGUUCCACAGCCCCAUAAAGCUGCAAGCCAAGGAAUGCAGCUCCCUUUUACUUCUGCCUUUCUGAACUCUACCCUUCUUUCAAGGUCAGCUCAAGCCUGCCCCCCACAUUACAGGUUAGGUUCAAAUGCCAAUUCUAGCUGUAUGGCCUUGGAUGACUCAUUUAACAUCUCUUAGCGCCCUUUUGUGAAUAAAAUGGGCGUAAAAAUGUCCACUCCCCAGGGCUAUGGUAAGGAUUGAGAGGCCCAGUGAAACUUCGCACAUAGUAUAUGCACAGUAAAUGGUAGGCAGCCCCCACUUCUCAUAGUGACCUCUCUUCCCUGCAUUUCAGUUUCUCUUAUCACCCGCCUAAUUCAACUUAGCAUUUUAUUAAACACUGACUCACAUCUGUUUAGCUCAUCAUUUUCCAUUCAUGUGUAAGUCUCGUCUUUCUCUGAUCUUCUUAGAACCAAGAACCAGGCUGUUCUUUCUCUCAUUUCGCCAUGGACCACUAAGCACAGUUUGGAAUCGUCACAUGACUUAUCAGUUGCUGCUGGUGUAAACACUGAGGCCCAUAGAGGUCAUCACCUGCCCAACUGGACAGCUGUGAAGCCACAGCUCACACCACUUGCUGCAUCCUCCUGCAAUUUCAGCACACUUUCUCUUGUGCUGCUCUCCCUGGAAAGACAGUGCUUUUCCCCAACACCAAUUCCACCGGCAUCGCCCUAGAAAAAUACUCACAAAGAACACGGGGAGCUAUGUCUAAGGAUCUUCAAUGAAGUAUUGUUAUAAUGGACAUUUAGUUACAACUUAAAUGUUCACCAACUGGGUGAACAUUUCCACUGACUGGGGAAUGACCAGAAACAGAAAACAGAGAACUAUGCUGUAUAACCAUCACAUGAAAUUCUGGGCAGCGGUAGAAAGGAAUGAAUGAAUCUGCUCAUGCUUACAUGAAAAGAGACAUAUUGUGAAGUGAAGGAAGUUUCAGAAUGAAGUUUACAAGUAUGAUUCCACAUGUUACAGAACAACAAGAGAUGUGGGUGUUUUGUAUGCAGACAUAUACAUGUAUGUAAACGUAUAGGAAAAGGUCUGAAAUUACGCAAGCCAAACUGAUAACAAAAUUACCCAUUGAGAAGGGGAAAGUGGUAGAAAAGAGAGAAUGCUGAUCAAGGGGAUUCUAGCCUUAUCUGAGCUGUUUGAAUUGUUUCACAAGAAUAAUGUAUUCAUGUGUUACUUGUGUGCUUAUAAUAAAUCUAAAAUAAGUUUGUCCUAAUUCUUUACAGUAGAGAAAUGGUGGCAUUUGGUGAUCAAGGAUGCAGUGUGGACUCAGACAGGCCUUAGCUUCCAUCCCAGCUUGGCUACUCGAGAGCUGUGUGACUGUACAUAAGCUACUUAAACUUUCUGUAUCUCUUUAGCCUCUUCUAUAGAAUGAAGUUGAUGACAAUACCUCAGAAGAUGUAGUGAGGAAUUAAAUGAGGCAUAAGCCAAGGUUUCUGCUGCACCUGGCAAAGAAGUGAAUCAGAUCAGAAGCACAAAUGCACGGAACUGAGUUUUCUGCCUGGACAGUGUCCUAAGACUCUCUGGCAAGAUCUCUGGUUUAACGACUUCCUGUACUUUCUUCAUCAUUUCGCCAGACAGCAGAUCUCCUGAGGGCAUGGGGAUCCCUAU
rnacentral:lncRNA from 10 species